rnacentral:lncRNA from 1 species
AGGGGAAAGUCCCUUUCACAACUCCCUAGAAGCAGAAUGUCCUAAGAAUUUUAUGGCAUUACCUACUUCCAAUUCUGCUCAGAUUUAUAGUACAUAUUUUUUAUCACCCUGACAAUUUCUUAGUGCCUAGAGAGUACUGAUGUUCUUCAGCAGCUGGAACAUGAUCUGUCUUCAACCAGAAAUGAUAUGUGAUUGGUUCCUUCAUCAAGCCCAAAGCCAAAGGAAUCCAGCCCAUAACCUCUGAUGGUAGUUUCUUUUGCUGUGCAGAAGCUCUUUAGUUUAAUUAGAUCCCAUUUGUCAAUUUUGGCUUUUGUUGCCAUUGCUUUUGGUGUUUUAGACAUGAAGUCCUUGCCCAUGCCUAUGUCCUGAAUGGUAAUGCCUAGGUUUUCUUCUAGGGUUUUUAUGGUUUUAGGUCUAACGUUUAAGUCUUUAAUCCAUCUUGAAUUAAUUUAUUGACACUUCUGCUCACAGGCAUGUUCCAGCUCAUACCCUAUGCCCCUUCCUUAUUUGGAAAUGUUAUUGCUUCCUAUGGUGACCAGAAUGUGUGGCAUUUGAGCCAUCAGCCCCUUUCCCUGCAGCCCUCCCAGCUCUCAUGGAAGCUGCCCUGGGGACUCCAGUCCAUUGGAUGCAGUGAAAAAUCGAGGCUCCUUCUGUCUCCAUCUCCCAGCUGGGAAUAUGUCUGCACUGCAAGAGGAGCAGCAUGCCAAUGCUUCUGUUUGCCUCUGCCCCAUGUUGCCUGCAAUGCGGACAUAUUCCCAGCUAGGAGAUGGAGACAGAAGAAGCCCCGAUUUUUCACUGCAUCCAAUGGACUGGAGUCCCCAGGGCAGCUUCCAUGAGAGCUGGGAGGGCUGCAGGGAAAGGGGCUGAUGGUUCAAAUGCCACACAUUCUGGUUACCGUUACCAAAUACAGUAAAUAUUGUUUAAUGAAUAUUUCUCCAUUUGCUGUAUGUCCUUAGAACAGUUUCCACAGACUUUUUAAAAAUCAUUUACUCCAGUGAAAUCAUUGCUUUGCUGCUGAGAAUUCUGUUGCACUCUUCUCUCUUCCCAUCUGGAACCCCAUUACAACAGAUGAAUGGAUAAAGAAAACGUGGUGUAUGGACCCAGUGGAAUGCCAUGCAGCCAUAGAGAAGAAGGAAAGCCUGUCAUUUACUACAACAUGGAUGGAUCUGGAGGACUUUACGUUAAGUGAAAUCAGCCAGUUACAGGAUGACAAAUAUUGCAUGAUUUCACUCACACAUGGAAUCUUCUAAAAAAUGAUAUUAUAGAAGCAGAGAGUAAAAUAGUGGUUACCAGACACUGGGAAGGGGAGGAGAUGGGGAGGAGGAGGAGAGGUUAAUCAGCUCAGCUCUGGCUCUGGGAAUCCUGUCUGCAGUGGCCAACGGGGUCAAGGGGCGAGUGCCUGUGGGUGUGAGUUUGUGUGCGGCACCUAGGGGUUGGCUCAUGGGGCAUGUGUGGGUCCUUUGUGGGGAGUACAGGGGCUGGUUGGCUGGGGGCUGGUGUAAGACCUAGCAGUGUUUAGGUAAUUCCUUACCUAAGUCCAUGUUUGCCCAAGACUAGGGAGGACAGAGGAAGCUUGUGUUGCUGAUAUCUUAACCUCAGCCAGUGCUCAUCAAGGCCACCCUGCAAGCUCCUAUUUCCCAAAUGUCUUCAUCUGUAAGGGCUGCCAUAGCAAAGCCCCAUGGACAGGGAGCCUUCUUAAACAACACAAACUCUUCCUCACAAUUCUGGAGGCUGGAAGUCCAGGGUCAAAGUGUCAGUAGGGUUGCAUCCCCUGAGGCCUCUCUCCUUGGUUUACAAAUGGCUGUCUUCUCCCGUGUCCUCAUGUGGUCUUCCCUCUGUGUCUGUCCAUGUCCUCAUCUCCUCUCUUAUGAGGAUACUAGCAAGAUUGCAUUAGGACCCACCCUCCUGAACUCAUUUUACUUUAGUCACCUCUUGAAAGGCCCUGUCUCCAAACAGUCACAUUCUGAGGUUCUGGAGGUUACUACUUUAACAUAUGGAUUUAGGUGGAGCAAAACUCAGCCCAUAACACUAACUUUCCUGAUAACCUGAAGCCCUGAGAAGUUGCCACUUGUCAGCCUUCUGCUCUUGACCAGGGCCUGCCAUCUCUGCAGCUGCCUCCCCUGCCUCUACCCCAGUCCCCAUCUGGGGGCUCCAUGGAAACAGCUGCACCAUUAACCCCUGACAUAGCCCCAAAUCUUUCACUGCACAGACCA